rnacentral:lncRNA from 1 species
AGCUCCUUUCCAAUCUUUUUUACUCUAGAGAGUGCCUAUAAUUUUCCCGGGCUAGUAACAAACCUCUGAUUGACCGCUCCUCAGCUUUGAACAGUGUCUUUUACCAUCUCAGCUAUACAGAUUGUGUACCUUGACUUAUCUUCAUCUUCUUCUGAUGUACAGUUCCUCUAACUCCUCUUGCUGGUUUCCACAGGUCAACUGUUGGUGUUUAGAGACGCUGGAAGGGUAACCCACUCUGAAGUUUCAUGCUACCUGCUCAUUUCCUGAAUGGGAAACUGCCAAGUUCCAUCUCCUCCCUACCACAGUUAACUCCAGAUAAGCAUAUGCAAGAAAUUGUGUAGAGGAGUCCUAAGGGCAAAAAGAAAG